UACGGGGGGGGCUAGCGUUGUCCGGAAUCAUUGGGCGUAAAGCGCGUGUAGGCGGUCCGGUAAGUCCGCUGUGAAAGUCGAGGGCUCAACCCUCGAAUGCCGGUGGAUACUGUCGGGCUAGAGUGCGGAAGAGGCGAGUGGAAUUCCUGGUGUAGCGGUGAAAUGCGCAGAUAUCAGGAGGAACACCAAUGGCGAAGGCAGCUCGCUGGGACGGUACUGACGCUGAGGCGCGAAAGCGUGGGGAGCAAACAGG
rnacentral:rRNA from 1 species